rnacentral:misc_RNA from 1 species
UCCUCUUUACAGAGGCAGUUUGUCUCGAGUUCCCGACAUUACUCGCUGGUAACAAGACAUGAGGGUUGCGCUCGUUGCGGGACUUAACCCAACAUUUCACAACACGAGCUGACGACAGCCAUGCACCACCUGUGGAACACCCUCGAAGGCGACCGGCUUUCACCGGCUUGCAGUUCCAUGUCAAGCCCUGGUAAGGUUCUUCGCGUUGCAUCGAAUUAAGCCACAUGCUCCACCGCUUGUGCGGGCCCCCGCCAAUUCCUUUGAGUUUCAACCUUGCGGCCGUAGUCCCCAGGCGGUUCACUUAAUGCGUUAGCUGCGGCACCGAGGCUUACGCCCCAACACCUAGUGAACAUCGUUUAUGGCUAAGACUAC